AAAGUAACUGAAACAACAUGGCGAGAUUCCAACACAGCAGGAGCAGCAGCAGGAACUGCAAAUGGAUGGCGAAAAGGGGGCGCCGUGGGGGCGGCUCCGGACGGCGGGGCAAAGGGAGGAGGAGGGGAAGACGCGGUGGAAGGAGAAAAGGUGGCAAAAGCCGUAGAGGUGGGCGGAAGAUAAAGAGAACUUGUCAGGCCCCAUGAAACCCAAAGCCUCAGGCUAUUUGCCCUGUUCAAUCUCUACUAAACAACACUCGAGAGCCACCCCCCAUCAGACUACCUGAGGCAAUCUCGCCCUACAAGAUCCCAGCAACUUGCUUGAGAAUGAACAGUGUCCUCUGUCAAUAAAGUCUGAAACGCCAUCACCACCACAA